AGCAGGUAAACGUUUCAGUCUCUAGGAGCAGUGGGAGACUACUGAAGGGUUUUGGGAGACAGCGGUAUUUUAGAAUUGUGUUUUAAAAUAUAAUUUCUUUUUAUUUAUUUAUUUGUUUAUUUUUUGAGACGGAGUUUCGCUCUUGUUACCCAGGCUGGAGUGCAAUGGCGCGAUGUCGGCUCACCGCAAGCUCCGCCUCCUGGGUUCAGCCAAUUCUCCUGCCUCAGCCUCCUGAGUAGCUGGGAUUACAGGCACGCGCCACCAAGCCCAGCUGAUUUUUAUAUUUUUAGUAGAGGAGUUUCACCAUGUUAACCAGGAUGGUCUCGAUCUCUUGACCUCGUGAUCCACCUGCCUCGAACUCCCAAAAUGCUGGGAUUACAGGUGUGAGCCACUACACCUGGCUUCUUCGCACAGUGCCUCUUUCCUAAAACAGGUUCUCUCAGCCAGGCGCAGUGGCUCACAUCUGUAAUCGCAGCACUUUGGAGGCCGAGGCAGGUGGAUCACCUGAGGUCAGGAGUUCGAGACCAGCCUGGCCAACAUGGUGAAACUCAUUUCUACUAAAAAUACAAAAAUUAGCUGGGUGUGGUGGUGCACACCUGUAAUCCCAGCUACUCGGGAGGCUGAGGCAGGAGAACUACUUGAACCUGGGAGGCUGGAGUGUAGGUGGCGACAGAGCGAGACUGUCUCAAAACCAACAGACAACACAAAACAGGUUCUGUGUUCCCCAUCUCGGGAAUACUACUACCACCCACAAAACACCCAAAUUAUCUUUAAUUUGCCCUCUCUCAUAUCCAAACAGUCACCAAAUUUAGAUGAGUCUCCCUUUUAAUCCGGCGUGCCUCCCUAACCCCCCAGCUCAUCACCUCACCAACACCUGCUUCCUGUCUGGCCUGCCUGUCUCCCACCUCCUCUGGUCUUGGCUUGAUUGUACAAAUCAACUCCAUGGACAGCUUUGAGCACCUUCAGUGUGCCAGGCCCUGUUCCUAUAAAACGAAGACAAUGACACUGCCCUGGUCCUCGGAAAGCAGAGGACUCCUGUGAUAUGCAGAAAGGAGGCACUCUCACCAUACCAUGUGACCCAGCCCUCUGUGGAACUCAGUCUCCCUAUUCUGUGAAGAGGUUUGGGACCAUGUGAUUUUCUAAGGUCUUUUCUGCAAACAUAAUCUAAGAUUCUUCUACUGUACUGUAAGGACUUCUGCUCCUUCUCAGCAGAAACUUUUCCCGAUUCAUCUUUGAUCAUAGCAGGUAGUGAGGAACUCUGUACUCCGCAGGGGUUUGGCCACAGCUUGCCGAAUGAGUAAAUGAAUGAGUGAUAUCAGUCCCCUGCUCAAAGUCACGCAAUGGCUUCCCUUUGCCAACAAGAUAAGGGCCUACCUAGAAGCCACUCAAAGCCUCUGAUUCCAACCCACCUUAGUAGCUUCUGACCUGGAAACUGCCCCCCAAAACUGGACUGGAACAUUUGGGGGCAUUUGAAGAGCUUCAUCUACCUGACAAACUUUCACUCAGAACCUAUUACACACCAGGGCCAGUGUUGCUGCUGGGAACACAAUGGUGAACAAAACCUGUGGGUAGGCCAGGUGUGGUGGCUCACGCCUAUACUCCCAGCACUUUGGGAGGCUGAGGCAGGUGGAUUACUUGAGGUCAGGAGUUCGAGACCAGCCUGGACAGCACAGUGAAACCCUAUCUCUACUAAAAAUACAGAAAAAUUAGUCAGGCAUCGUGGCACGCGCCUGUGGUCCUAGCUAUUCAGGAGGCUGAGGCGGAAGAACCGCUUGAACCCAGGAGGCGGAGGUUGCAAUGAGCCGAGAUUGCGCCACUGCACUCCAGCCUGGUGACAGAGCAAGACUCUGUCUCAAAAAUAAAAUAUAAAAAAAAUACAAAUACAAAUUAGCCAGAGCAGUGGCUCACGCCUGUAAUCCCAACACUCUGGGAGGCUGAGGUGGGUGGAUUACUUGAGGUCACGAGUUCGGGACCAGCCUGGACAACAUGGUGAAACCCCAUCUCUACUAAAAAUACAAAAUUAGCCAGGUGUUGUGAAGCAUGCCUGUGAUCCCAGCUACUUGCGAGGCUGAGGUAGGAGAAUCAUUUGAACCCAGGAGGUGGAGUUUGCAGUGAGCUGAGAUUGUGUCACUGCACUCCUGCCUGGGCGACAGAGCCAGGCUCCAUCUCAAAAAAACAAAACAAAUCAAAAAACCCAAAACCUGUGAGUCUCCUUGCCCUCCUGGGCUGAUGUUCAAGAAGACCACACAGGGAACAACAGAAGCUGCAGAGCAAUCCAUGCUAUGGGGCCUGUGGGAACUGGAGGAGGUCCCUAACCUAGCCCUGGGAUCCUGGGAGGCUUCCCAGAGGAAGCCUAAAGGAGGUGGAGGGAGUCUAUGCACAGGGCCAGAGACACUCCCUCCCUCCUGGAAUCUCACCAGGCAGUUGUCCUCCAGCUUCUGGCUUAGCCCAGAGAUUGGGGAGCUCUUUGGGUAAGCUAGCCCAGUCUGUGGAUGCCCAACUGUCACUGAUAAAGUCCUUCCUUCUGACCCAAGCCUACUCCACUCCACCCUUAAGUUAGUAACAAUAUUAGCUUAGCAUCUUUCAAAGAGUAUUUAUUGCAUGCCCACUUUGCACCUGCCAGGUGCAUUAUACACACCCCCUACUUGACUCUUAACAGGGACUCUUUAUGAUCCCAUUUUCAGAUGAGAGCACUGAGACUCCAAACGGGUGGCUUGCCUGAGCACCUGUGAGGCCUCAGCCCGGGCUUUUGUGCCCUUGGGAUCCCUGCCCCUGCACACUGACCUCACUGCCUCCCCUUAGACUAGCCUCACCCAAAGGCUUUCCCUUCGUGUCCACAUAGAACAGGGGCUUGGGCCCCAUCCCGUUCCCUCCAGCAGGCUGGCCAGCCCGGGCGUAGGCCUCGGUCCUCUCUGAAGCUCCUAGGGAGACAAUGGCAGGGUCGGUGGGGGAGGUGAGGGCGCGGGUGCUCCCCUGCUUGCUGUCCUUUGUCUUCCUGCCUGCGCCCCUCUCGCGCCCCGGGAGGCUGGGAGGCGCCUCUCACAGGCUUCCUCCUCCCAUUCUUGUGCUAAUUGGGUGUCAAGCUGAGAUCAGUGAGAAAGAAAUCCGCCCCGGCUUGGGUUAAACUGCCGCCAAAGACAAGGGCUGAGCCCAGAAUAUCAUUAGGCCGGGAGGAAGCAGGGCCCCCUCCUUGGGGGGAGGGGCAGGCCACGCAUUUCAGGCCCCUUUGAAAGUCACUUGGUCACCCCCUCCUUUGCUGUUGCAGCCUUAAUGGGCCCCUCGGAGGUAUUUAACCUUCUUCCCAGGAACUGAAAGUGAUACACCACGCAGUGGCCGGGGCAGCCACUUGGCUGUCUCGAGGGCGGCUGGACCUCCGGGAGCAUGUGAGGCUGGCCCCUUCUAGACUUCCCUGUAGCAGAAAGGUUGCAGAUGGGAACACUGAGGCACAGGGACUUUCCUCCUAGUUCUGCCAUUCACAAGCUCUGUGGUCCUUGGAGAGACUUUACCUCUCUGAGCCUCAAAUUCCUCAUCUGUGAAAUGGGGAUAAAAAUGGUACCCUGCCGGGCGCAGUGGCUCACGCCUGUAAUCCCAGCACUUUGGGAGGCCGAGGCGGGUGGAUCACGAGGUCAAGAGAUCGAGACCAUCCUGGUCAACAAGGUGAAACCCCGUCUCUACUAAAAAUACAAAAAUUAGCUGGGCAUGGUGGUAAAGCCCAUAGUCGCAGCUACUCGGGAGGCUGAGGUAGGAGAAUUGCUUGAACCCAGGAGGCGGAGGUCGUGGUGAGCCGAGAUUGCGCCAUUGCACUCCAGCCUGGGUAAUAAGAGGGAAACUCCGUCUCAAAAAAAAAAAAAAAAAGUACCCUGCUUUGGGCCGGGUGCCGUGGCUCACGCCUGUAAAACCAGCACUUUGGGAGGCUGAGGUGGGUGGAUCACUUGAGGUCAGGAGUUCAAGGCCAGCUUGACCAACGUGGUGAAAACCUGUCUCUACUAAAAAUACGAAAUGAUCCGGGUGUGGUGGUGCAUGCCUAUACUCCCAGCUACUUGGGACUCUGAGGCAGGAGAAUUGCUUUAACCCAGGAGGUGCAGGUUGCAGUGAGCCGAGAUCACUGUACUCCAGGCUGGGCGACAAGAGCAAAACUCUGUCUCAAAAAGAAAAAAAAGAAAUUAAAAAAUAGAACCUACUUUGCGUAGGAGGAUUUAAUGAAAUUACGCAGCACAGAAAGCGCUUUGCACAGGGCCUGGUACAUAGAGUGCGCCGUACAUUGUGGUCAUUAAUGAGAGCCGAAGGAAGUGGGUUUGACCUGAUACUUGGAACUCCAGAGCUCCCUCUUUUCUAGAGGCAUGCAAACAGAAGUACCCAUGAAGGAUUCACUUUUCCUAUCUUGCCUCAACUGUAACUCUCCUCCCCAACCCUGCAGCCUCGCUGCCUGUCCUUAUUUAUUUAUUUAUUUAUUUGAGACAGUCUUGCUUUGUUGCCCAGGCUGGAGUGCAGUGACAUGAGCUUGGCUCACUGUAGCCUCCACCUCCCUGGUUUCAAGUGAUUCUCUUGUCUCAGCCUCCCAAGUAGCUGGGAUUACAGGCACCCACCACCAUGCCAGGCUAAUUUUUGUUUUUAGUAGAGAUGGGGUUUCAUCGUAUUGGCGAGGUUGGUCUUGAACUCCUGACCUCAAAUGAUCCGCCCGCCUGGGCCUGGCAUGCCUGCCUUUCUUUAAUCUGCCCUGGACCUCCGGGCCUCUACAUGUGGCUGCUCCCUCCAUCUGGAACAGUCUUCCUGGAGAGCCCUCCCUGGCCACGAUAUGCUCAGCCAGGGUGCUGGGUUAGGUGCAGCUAAGUCCACAACCUUGGCUUCUUUACUCACCACACGCCUCUCUGGAGACCGUGGCUCCCUGAGGGCAAAUCUAGGACCCAGGUCUCUAUCUUGCUCACCUGGCAGUUUCCUGCUCUCUGCACAGGGUAGGCCUCCAGAAUUUGCUCCACAGAUAAACUUACAGGAUGCUCUGUAAAUUGUGGAGCACUAUAUAAAUGUCAGGAAAUGCCUGAGAAACAGUAGCUAUUGUCAGUGAACCUCACAAGCAUCUAUUAAGCACCUGCUGCAUGCAUGGAGAUGACUCACAUGGCCAUAGCUGAGGUAUGAUCAGAUGCAGACCUGAGAGCUGGAGGGGUCACAGGCCCACCAGGACUCUCCAUCAUGGAGGGGCUGUGGUAGGUAGGGUUCAGUGCAGAAGUGAGAAACUUAGCCUAGUCUGGGGUAUUUUUUUUUUUUUUUUUUUUUGAGACGGAGUUUCGCUCUUGUUACCCAGGCUGGAGUGUAAUGGUGCGAUCUUGGCUCACCACAACCUCCGCCUCCUGGGUUCAGGCAAUUCUCCUGCCUCAGCCUCCUGAGUAGCUGGGAUUACAAGCACGCACGACCAUGCCCAGCUAAUUUUUUGUAUUUUUAGUAGAGACGGGUUUCACCAUAUUGACCAGGAUGGUCUCGAUCUCUUGACCUUGUGAUCCACCUGCCUCGGCCUCCCAAAGUGCUGGGAUUACAGGCGUGAGCCACUGCGCCCGGCCUAGUCUGGGGUCUUAAAACCUAAACAUGUUUUGCUAAGUCGGCACUCACCAAGGAGAAAGCCAUGUUCAGUUCGAGCGCCAUGAUCAUGAAGCCCAAUGGCGAGAAGCCAGACGAAUUCGAGUCCGGCAUCUCCCAGGCUCUUCUGGAGCUGGAGAUGGACUCUGACCUCAAGGCUCAGCUCAGGGAGCUGAAUAUUACGGCAGCCAAGGAAAUUGCAGUUGGUGGUGGCCGGAAAGCUACCAUAAUCUUUGUUCCUGUUCCUCAAUAAAAUCUUUCCAGAAAAUCCAAGUCCGGCUAGUACGCGAAUUGGAGAAAAAGUUCAGUGGGAAGCAUGUUGUCUUUAUCGCCCAGAGGAGAAUUCUGCCUAAACCAACUCGAAAAAGCCGUACAAAAAAUAAACAAAAGCGUCCCAGGAGCUGUACACUGACAGCUGUGCACGAUGCAAUCCUCGAGGACCUAGUCUUCCCAAGUGAAAUUGUGGGGAAGAGAAUCCGCGUGAAACUGGAUGGCAGCAGGCUCAUAAAGGUUCAUUUGGACAAAGCACAGCAGAACAAUGUGGAACACAAGGUUGAAACUUUUUCUGGUGUCUAUAGGAAGCUCAUGGGCAAGGACGUUAAUUUUGAAUUCCCAGAGUUUCAAUUGUAAACAGAAUGACUAAAUAAAAAAUAUAUUCGCAAACAAACAAAACCAAAAGAUCUAAUAUCUCCUUUUUCUCUGUUAACUACCAUGUUAACUACCAAGCAUUGAGCGGACACCAGCAUCAGGCCCAGACCCCAUGCUUAACCACCUUAAUCACCUGCAUACUGCCUUCAGGUGACUGUGUUCAGCCUGGAGCAAGGAAUGCCCCCGCUCUGGGGGCUCCUUCUUCCCAUUGUGGAGAACUCACUGCUGAGGGUUAAAGAUACAAAGCCACACUGUCAACCAAAUUAAGCCCUCAGAAGCCGGCCACAGGGUCCUCUGAGUAUGGUACCUGCUCGGGGGAUGAGGCGAGACUCAGCCUCUCCAGGCUUCCCUGGGCUGAGGCCAGGAGUGGAUUCUCCAAGCUCCAUGCGCCCUCUGCUGGCCACACUCAGGCACAGCAGCCAUGCCUGCCACGCCACGCCACUCAGCAUCGCUCCACAAGGCCCCCCCCGACUCCAGUUCUGCCCCUGCACCCCGAAUUCUCCCGAGACAAGCACUGGACUCCUCUGUCCUUCCAAGUGCACUCCCCCAGGAGGCACCCCAGCUUUCAGCCUGGCCACCCUGCCUGAACUGUCAGCUGCUGGCCUGGGGUAUGGCUGAGGCGGCUCUGCAGGCAUGCGCGGAAUGGAGGCUUUCCUGGCUUCCCUUACCUUCUGCACCAGGAGGCGCGGUGGUGUGGCAGGAAGGGCAGGGGCUCCAUUCCAGCCCCCGCUACUUGUUG